rnacentral:rRNA from 1 species
CUAAGAAUAUUCCGCAAUGGACGGAAGUCUGACGGAGCGACGCCGCGUGGAUGACGAAGGCCGAAAGGUUGUAAAGUUCUUUGCUGGGGAAGAAUAACCGCAGGAGGGAAUGCCUGUGGGAUGACAAGAACCGGCGAAUAAGCCCCGGCCAACUACGUGCCAGCAGCCGCGGUAACACGUAGGGGGGCGAGCGUUGUUCGGAAUUACUGGGCGUAAAGGGCAUGUAGGCGGCUUGGAAAGCCUGGCGUGAAAGUCUGCAGCUUAACUGCAGGGGUGCGCUGGGAACUGCUGAGCUUGAGUGACGGAGAGGGAGCUGGAAUUCCUGGUGUAGGGGUGAAAUCUGUAGAUAUCAGGAAGAACACCGAUGGCGAAGGCAAGCUCCUGGCCGAUGACUGACGCUGAGGUGCGAAAGUGUGGGGAUCAAACAGGAUUAGAUACCCUGGUAGUCCACACAGUCAACGAUGUGCACUAGGUGCUGGGGCGGUAGCUUCGGUGCCGGAGCGAACGUGGUAAGUGCACCGCCUGGGGAGUAUGCUCGCAAGGGUG